GACGAACGCUGGCGGCGUGCUUAACACAUGCAAGUCGAACGGAAAGGCCCUGCUUUUGUGGGGUGCUCGAGUGGCGAACGGGUGAGUAACACGUGAGUAACCUGCCCUUGACUUUGGGAUAACUUCAGGAAACUGGGGCUAAUACCGGAUAGGAGCUCCUGCUGCAUGGUGGGGGUUGGAAAGUUUCGGCGGUUGGGGAUGGACUCGCGGCUUAUCAGCUUGUUGGUGGGGUAGUGGCUUACCAAGGCUUUGACGGGUAGCCGGCCUGAGAGGGUGACCGGCCACAUUGGGACUGAGAUACGGCCCAGACUCCUACGGGAGGCAGAAGUGGGGAAUAUUGCACAAUGGGCGGAAGCCUGAUGCAGCAACGCCGCGUGCGGGAUGACGGCCUUCGGGGUGUAAACCGCUUUCGCCUGUGACGAAGCGUGAGUGACGGUAAUGGGUAAAGAAGCACCGGCUAACUACGUG
rnacentral:rRNA from 1 species